UUAUUUUUUAUUAAAAUUUCCUAAUCUACCCCCAAACCCUAAACUAAGCGGCACUCCCCACCUUUCACACACAACCCUCACACUCAACAAACGAACACACACGCGUAGAAACACAAAAAAGAAAAGAAUGAAAGAAAGGAAAAGAAAAGGGGAACGGGAAAGGGAGCUCGAGGAAGGAGAGGAAGAGAAGGGGGAGUUGUCCACGCCACCACCCAGCUCAACGUCGCCGCCGGUCCACCUUGGAGCAGCCGUCGAAGCAGAAUCACGAGGAGUGAGGGAGACCGCGUCGGUUCACUGUGGAGCCAGCGCCGCUGUCGUCCUCAUCGCGGACCUCCACCGUCGCGUGUUGCCGCCGUCACCACCAAGCUCGCCUUCAUCGCCAUUGUUGCCAAGAAAGAGAAGGACGCGCAACAUUCAAGAGGGAAGAGCUGGAGGAGGGGAAGAACGGCGCUGUUUUGCUGUUCCCCAUCGCAGCUGAAACUCACCGCCGCUGUGGCUACCCGUGCCGCCGUCUGAGUCGCGGGGAAGGAGAAAGAGUUGGGUUUAGCCAUGCCUUGCCUUUGCUACCGGAGACUGCCGCUGGAUCCUCUGUCUUGGGUCGAAUUGUGGUUCGUGCAUGCCGAGUUCAGUAGUCGUGCAUGCGACAUCAAGCUGCCGCGUCGUCAACGGAGUCGCCGCCAUUCUGUUUUAUCGGAUAUUCGUAGGUUCAGUAAGCUAUUCCCUGUUCCGAUUUCUUUUAGUCGCUAUUGUGUGAUAUGUUUCUAAGGUCCUUGCAACGUUAAUGCUUUAGGUUUGAGUUCGGUUCUUACGUGUCGUGAUUAAAGAAGUUGUGGUUGCGGCUGCCUAAGAGGGAAGGUUUCCUUGACGCAUUUGGUUUUCGGAUCUCAGCUUGUCGAGGCAGGGUGUUUUUCUAAAAAACUUAUUUUAUAUUUUAGAAUUGUUAUAAAUGGAUAUGGAUGUGAUAAAUACAAUUUCUGGUGAUUAUGUAAGUCUUAUGUAUUGUCGGGCUGUUUUGGGAUGAAUAUGACUAUUGUUUGAUUGGAUUAUUGUUUGGUUUUGUUAAAUUAUUUCUUUAAAGUUUAGGGAAAUGAGUUUGGUUCG